ensembl:lncRNA
AAGAUCUUGAAGCUGAAUGUACACAGAGUGAGAAAGAGGAUUCAAAGAUAAAUCUGAAGUUUGUUGCAGGAAAAUCCUGUGAUACAGAUCUCUGAAAGAAGACCAAGAGGAAAAUCUUCAAGACUGCUUAAAAAAAAGAAAAAGAAAGAAAAAGAAAUUAAAAAAAAGAAAAAGAAGAAUGAAAAAGAAAAUUAAAAAACAAAACAAACAAACAAAAAAACCCACUCAUAUUCUCCUAUAUAUUCCUCCACUAAUGUGUCUUCAGGCACAACAAUUUUGCAUGACUUCAUCAGCCAGCAUGACAGAGAUGUAGAUAUGUCCUCUAUCACUCUAUCAUAUCAAGAACUGAGCAGAAGCUCUUAGACUGGAAACUAGAAAAAAUGUGAUGUUGUAUGCUGUGGAAUCAUGG